rnacentral:rRNA from 1 species
AUUGAACGCUGGCGGCAGGCCUAACACAUGCAAGUCGAACGAGUGGCGGACGGGUGAGUAAUGUCUGGGAAACUGCCUGGUGGAGGGGGAUAACUACUGGAAACGGUAGCUAAUACCGCAUACCAUCAGAUGUGCCCAGAUUGGAUUAGCUUGUUGGUGGGGUAACGGCUCACCAGGGCGACGCUCCCUAGCUGGUCUGAGAGGCUGACCAGCCACCCUGGAACUGAGACAAGGUCCAGACUCCUACGGUAGGCCGCAGUGGUGAAUCUGGCACAAUGGGCGCAAGCCUGAUGCAGCCAUGCCGCGUGUAUGAAGAAGGCCUUCGGGUUGUAAAGUAAUUUCAGCGGGGAGGCGUUACCCGCAGAAGAAGCACCGGCUAACUCCGUGCCAGCAGCCGCGGUAAUUC